GUGGGGAAUAUUGGACAAUGGGCGAAAGCCUGAUCCAGCCAUGCCGCGUGUGUGAAGAAGGUCUUCGGAUUGUAAAGCACUUUAAGUUGGGAGGAAGGGCAGUAAGUUAAUACCUUGCUGUUUUGACGUUACCGACAGAAUAAGCACCGGCUAACUUCGUGCCAGCAGCCGCGGUAAUACGAAGGGUGCAAGCGUUAAUCGGAAUUACUGGACGUAAAGCGCGCGUAGGUGGUUUUGUAAGUUGGAGGUGAAAUCCCCGGGCUCAACCUGGGAACUGCCUCCAAAACUGCAUGACUAGAGUACGGUAGAGGGUAGUGGAAUUUCCUGUGUAGCGGUGAAAUGCGUAGAUAUAGGAAGGAACACCAGUGGCGAAGGCGACUACCUGGACUGAUACUGACACUGAGGUGCGAAAGCGUGGGGAGCAAACAGGAUUAGAAACCCGAGUAGUCC
rnacentral:rRNA from 1 species